UGGGGAGAAGACAUUGUGUCUUCGAGUCGUUGAUUUCACACUGCCGAGAAAAGCCUCUAGAUAGAAAAUAGGUGCCCGUACCGCAAACCGACACAGGUAGUCAAGAUGAGAAUUCUAAGGUGAGCGAGCGAACUCUCGUUAAGGAACUCGGCAAAAUGACCCCGUAACUUCGGGAGAAGGGGUGCUCUUUAGGGUUAACGCCCAGAAGAGCCGCAGUGAAUAGGCCCAAGCGACUGUUUAUCAAAAACACAGGUCUCUGCUAAACCGUAAGGUGAUGUAUAGGGGCUGACGCCUGCCCGGUGCUGGAAGGUUAAGAGGAGUGGUUAGCUUCUGCGAAGCUACGAAUCGAAGCCCCAGUAAACGGCGGCCGUAACUAUAACGGUCCUAAGGUAGCGAAAUUCCUUGUCGGGUAAGUUCCGACCCGCACGAAAGGCGUAACGAUUUGGGCACUGUCUCAACGAGAGACUCGGUGAAAUCAUAGUACCUGUGAAGAUGCAGGUUACCCGCGACAGGACGGAAAGACCCCGUGGAGCUUUACUGUAGCCUGAUAUUGAAAUUCGGCACAGCUUGUACAGGAUAGGUAGGAGCCUUUGAAACGUGAGCGCUAGCUUACGUGGAGGCGCUGGUGGGAUACUACCCUAGCUGUGUUGGCUUUCUAACCCGCACCACUUAUCGUGGUGGGAGACAGUGUCAGGCGGGCAGUUUGACUGGGGCGGUCGCCUCCUAAAAGGUAACGGAGGCGCUCAAAGGUUCCCUCAGAAUGGUUGGAAAUCAUUCAUAGAGUGUAAAGGCAUAAGGGAGCUUGACUGCGAGACCUACAAGUCGAGCAGGGUCGAAAGACGGACUUAGUGAUCCGGUGGUUCCGCAUGGAAGGGCCAUCGCUCAACGGAUAAAAGCUACCCCGGGGAUAACAGGCUUAUCUCCCCCAAGAGUUCACAUCGACGGGGAGGUUUGGCACCUCGAU
rnacentral:rRNA from 1 species